rnacentral:rRNA from 1 species
UACAGAGGGUGCAAGCGUUGUUCGGAAUUAUUGGGCGUAAAGCGCGUGUAGGCGGCUUUGCAAGUCGGGUGUGAAAGCCCUCAGCUCAACUGAGGAAGUGCGCCCGAAACUGCAGAGCUUGAGUACCGGAGAGGAUGGCGGAAUUCCCCAAGUAGAGGUGAAAUUCGUAGAUAUGGGGAGGAACGCCGGUGGCGAAGGCGGCCAUCUGGACGGAUACUGACGCUGAGACGCGAAAGCGUGGGUAGCAAACAGG